AGACCCAAAGAGAGAGGCAGGGUCUGAUCCGCAGCCUCUGUGGAAGAUGUUGAUCAGCCGUUGCCUCUCUCUUUUUCUCGG
rfam:Myotis davidii contig16970, whole genome shotgun sequence.